ensembl:snRNA U1 U1 spliceosomal RNA
UGUCUGAUCUGAGGGGAGAUAACAUGAUCAGGAAGGUGGUUUUCUCAGGAUGAGGUUCAUUCUUUGCAGUCUUGCUGUGCUUGUCCCUGCAGUUUCCCUAAAUACGGGAAGCUCAGCUGCAUAAUUCAUGGCCUUUCUGUAAGGCAGACACAGAG